rnacentral:rRNA from 1 species
UACAGGGGGGGCAAGCGUUGUUCGGAAUUACUGGGCGUAAAGCGUGCGCAGGCGGUUAUGCAAGCCAGACGUGAAAGCCCCGGGCUUAACCUGGGAAUGGCGUUUGGGACUGCAUGGCUAGAGUACGUCAGAGGGGGGUGGAAUUCCACGUGUAGCAGUGAAAUGCGUAGAGAUGUGGAGGAACACCGAUGGCGAAGGCAGCCCCCUGGGAUGAUACUGACGCUCAGGCACGAAAGCGUGGGGAGCAAACAGG